UGACGGCCCAGGACAGCUUGAGAAACAGAUGUAAAAAUUCCCGCGUCCAGCCCAAGAGUGGCCGUGGGCUCCUCCUGCCUCGCUCAGAGUCAGAAUCAAAUAAGGUGGUGAAGGUCCGAGCGGCCAUUUGACCUGCAGCUAUUCUGAAGAUCACAUAAGGAAGUUCUGGGAGCCAGAUCCACGGGACCUGGCAUGAAAUGGGAGGCGUUGUGCCUGCCUGGCAUACCGCAUUUCUUAGAUCACACCUUAGCAAGACCGCUACUGAAAUCAGAAGUACGUUUACCCUAAUGGGGGAACUAAGCAAAAGAAAAUUAUCUCGGAUCAAGGAUCUUUUCUACUUCUCUAAUUCAACUCCUGGGGACCUUUUUCCUUGAGCAAAAAUUGCUCAAAGAAGAAUUAUGUGUUAUUCAAGCAAUCUGAAAACCAAAUCUCUUUUGAC
ensembl:lncRNA